AUGCCACUAGAACUGCCUGCGUCAGCUGCGUCCCCUGGAGAGGAGAGAAGCACGUGGAGACAUCAUCCCCAGGAUCAAGGGCUGAGCGGGAGAGCAACUCCAUGGGCGCAGCUGGGGCUGCCCCAAAGUCAGCCCCACCAUCUCCCAGCGACGCCUGGCUCCCAGGACCCUCCCCUGAAAGGAGUUGCCACUGACCCUCUUCCCCAUACAGCUCAACCUCUUGCGGUGUGCCUGGGACCAGACUGUCACCGCCCUGGCAUUGCCCCCAACACGUCUUCUUAUCGCCAUGGUUACAUUCAGAAUAGUUGGGUCAAGCCUACUGGUGGGAGGGCAGGGGUCUCGGGUAGGGGCUCCCCUUGGUGCUGCAGGUGGCAGGCACGGCGGCCAUCCAGGAGGCCCUCGGCCUGCCCCCUUCCCCCACCGUUCCUGGUGCUUCGGUCUCUGUCUGCCUGGCCAGUGGCCCAUUCUGUCUCUUAUAUAAAGGUAACUCUCUUGGCCCAACCGUGUGUCUCAGCUGCCUCUUCUAUUUGCCAGCUCCAGCCCCCACUGUGCCCAGAGCAAAAGCCAUGUCCCCUCCCCAAAGGAGGGGCUUUUCCUCCCCCUUCCCAGUUAAAGGAGGGAGUCGGGACCAGAAUGGGAGGCAUUGAUGGGCUCAGCCACUCUCUGCCUGGCAGGCCGGCCUCUCCCCUUCCAAGGACACAGCCAGCUAUGUCAGCAAUGCCGCCAGGGGCCCCACCUGCGGUCAGAGGAGCCACCAGACGCUUUCUGCUGCAAGGACUCUGUCUGAAUGUCCAUUCGCUGGGCCUGUUUUCUUUCCUGGCUGGUUCUCACAUUCCAAGACAGGAGCUGAAAGGAGAGGCUGUCCGGCAGCUGGACAGCCCAGCCCUAAAACCAACACAGCCCCCCUUGACUUCCUGGGGUUUAGUUCAGCACACAGUCAGUCUGGAUGCUCCGCACACAGACACGCACACACAAGGGACUCCCAUAAAAGGCGCAACUCCACUGCCCAGGUGCAGAGGCCAGAGCAGCAGGUGA
rnacentral:lncRNA from 1 species